UGUUUGCACUUAGCAGGAAGGGUAAGAACCUUCGACUAAGGUUCGACUCGAGCGCCAGCGAGAGAACGUUGCCACAGGCAACGGCCCGAAGGGCGAGGAGCGAUAGCGACGAGUUAUCCUUCCCCCACCACCA
rnacentral:sRNA from 1 species